GGCUCUGUAGCUCAAUGGUAGAGUGCUUGCCUAGCACGCGUGAGGCACUGGGUUCGAUUCUCAGCACCA
rnacentral:tRNA from 1 species